rnacentral:rRNA from 1 species
AACGAACGCUGGCGGCAGGCUUAACACAUGCAAGUCGAACGGUUGUAGCAAUACAGCAGUGGCAGACGGGUGAGUAACACGUGGGAACCUUCCUAGGGGUACGGAACAACUCAGGGAAACUUGAGCUAAUACCGUAUACGUCCGUGAGGAGAAAGAUUUAUCGCCCUUAGACGGGCCCGCGUCGGAUUAGCUAGUUGGUGGGGUAACGGCCUACCAAGGCGACGAUCCGUAGCUGAUCUUAGAGGAUGAUCAGCCACACUGGGACUGAGACACGGCCCAGACUCCUACGGGAGGCAGCAGUGGGGAAUCUUGGACAAUGGGCGCAAGCCUGAUCCAGCCAUGCCGCGUGAGUGAAGAAGGUCUUCGGAUUGUAAAGCUCUUUUACCAGGGACGAUAAUGACGGUACCUGGAGAAUAAGCCCCGGCAAACUUCGUGCCAGCCGCCGCAGUAACAC